UACGUAGGCAGCGAGCGUUGUUCGGAGUUACUGGGCGUAAAGCGUGCGUAGGCGGUUUUGUAAGUUUGGUGUGAAAUCUCCCGGCUCAACUGGGAGGGUGCGCCGAAGACUGGAAGGCUUGAGUAUGGGAGAGGUAAGCGGAAUUCCUGGUGUAGCGGUGAAAUGCGUAGAUAUCAGGAGGAACACCUGCGGUGUAGACGGCUUACUGGACCAUCACUGACGCUGAGGCACGAAAGCGUGGGUAGCAAACAGG
rnacentral:rRNA from 1 species